UGGAAUACCUCCUUUCUGGAGUGGUACCGGCCACUCGCUGCGCACAAAUGAUAAAUGGAUAUCUUAAAAGGAAAAGCACCAAGAAGAUGAAGCCGCAGGUCUUACCGGCCACAGGGCAGGGGGAUAUGGAUGGCACAUCGAUAUAGUCCCGUAGCUCAGCCUGGUUAGAGCACUACACUGAUAAUGUAGGGGUCUCCAGUUCAAAUCUGGACGGGACUACGCUAAGUUUUUUUGGGGGAUUAGCUCAGCUGGCUAGAGCGCCUGCCUUGCAC
rnacentral:tRNA from 1 species